rnacentral:rRNA from 1 species
CCUACGGGAGGCAGCAGUGAGGAAUAUUGGUCAAUGGACGAGAGUCUGAACCAGCCAAGUAGCGUGAAGGAUGACUGCCCUAUGGGUUGUAAACUUCUUUUAUAUGGGAAUAAAAUGUUCCACGUGUGGGAUUUUGUAUGUACCUUAUGAAUAAGGAUCGGCUAACUCCGUGCCAGCAGCCGCGGUAAUACGGAGGAUCCGAGCGUUAUCCGGAUUUAUUGGGUUUAAAGGGAGCGUAGGUGGAUUGUUAAGUCAGUUGUGAAAGUUUGCGGCUCAACCGUAAAAUUGCAGUUGAAACUGGCAGUCUUGAGUACAGUAGAGGUAGGCGGAAUUCGUGGUGUAGCGGUGAAAUGCUUAGAUAUCACGAAGAACUCCGAUUGCGAAGGCAGUUCACUGGACUGCAACUGACACUGAGGCUCGAAAGUGUGGGUAUCAAACAGGAUUAGAUACCCGAGUAGUC